AGCUUUUCUCAAGGUUCACUGACCAAGGAAAAGGUGACUGCACAUAACUUCACCUGAAGCUGUGAGGAAUGAGACCUAAGCUUGGGUUUUCUCCUGUGCCAUCCCUGUGCAGUGAUCUAACAUACAUACUGGGAAUCCUUUAGAAUUACUUUCUGCAACAUUUGUAAAGUAGACUGUUAUAUUGGUCCCUCUCCAGUCUGGUGGGUUGAGUCAGAGGUCUGCACGUUGCCAAGGGUGUGGGGGACCUGAGGCAACAUGUGCAGGCCUGUUUAUCCACCAAGCCUGACAGGGUGGGGGCUCGCAUAUGGGCCUCAGGCCUGGCCUAGGGGGGCUGCUGGGGACAUCUCUGUUCUCUCACUUCUGUGAAUUUCUUUGCUUCCCUGUGUAAAUUGUAAAAGGUCAUCAGGGAAUACUGUGCAGUUUCUGCUAAAGGAGAAAGAGGGUUCAAAAGCAGCUCCGUUCUGUCGCACCUUGAGCUGGGAAGUACACAAUGCUUUGAGCACUCUGUCAGAGGAGCGUGGUGCACUCGGUGUGUGUUAAAGCUGCUGUGGGAAUAGUGCUUGUUGAGAAUAUCUAUGAGAUGCAUAUUUGGAGGAUGGCUCUAUCUGUGAGCCUGACUUUAUUUUUACAGCAAUAAGACUUAAAUAAGAUACUUGCUGAAGCUUUAAAAUGUUCUUGCAACAUAAACAUAAUGUAAAAUCUAAUUUCACUCUAAGGCUAGAGUUGAAAAGGAGUGAAAAUGUUUCCAUGUUUCAGAAGAACAAGUUUUGUGUUACACAAAGCAGGUGUUUAUAGAACGCUUCAUUUUAAUUCAGUGUAGCUAAUAUCCCAGUUCACGUUGUUUGGAGUAGUAACAGUGUAACACAGAGCCCUAGCAAAGAUUUACAGGUUUCCUUUAGGUCAGUAACAGCUGCUAUAAACACGUUGGGCUAUUUUAUUAUUAUUAUUAUUAUUAUUUUAAUAUUAUUCCACUCCAUCUACAUCUAGUAAGUGGAAGGGAGGGAAGGGGGAGAAGGUUAACAGUUUUUACAGUUUAGGCUUUUCUUUUUGUCACAGUUAAACUAAAUAUACGCAGGUGGCUAGGUGGCACUGUGGAUUAAUGUACUUCUGAAUUAAUGUGCUUGGAGUGGCUUGUAUCACCAAGUGAGCAAAUCUGAAGUACGAGCUCUCUUCCCCUCCUGAUUCACUGUUUAUGCAGUUCUAUUUGAGUUGUAUUAUUGUUUGUAUUAAAAUCAUAAGUCCAAAAGAAUGAGCAUUGUGCAAGAAGUAAAUCAAUGAACCUGUAUUUU
rnacentral:lncRNA from 1 species